CUAACUUCGAUGUUUUGUGGUUUUUUUUUCACAAUGAACUCAACGUUUAAUGCUGUACAAUGCAUACAAAAAAGACGGUGACCCAAUAAUUAUCCUAUUUAUCAUUAACACGAAAAUGAAUGUACUAUACGCAUAUAGUUUUUAAUAAAAAUUUAUGUAUUUGAAAUUGUAGAUUUUACAAAUAUUCAUCUAUUCUUAAAGAAGUCGACCAGUUAUAUUUUAGAACAUAAAAGC
rnacentral:lncRNA from 1 species